UUGGGGAUAGCUCAGUUGGCAGGGCAUGAGACACUCAAUCUCAGGAAUGUGGGUUUGAGCCCCACAUUGGGUAAAAG